AACUCCACGGCUCUGUUGUAGGAGACCCAGGAAAUCUCUCCCAAUUGGAGUCGGCUAAAACACAAGUCCAAAUCCUUCCAGGAGAAUGUUCUGUGGAGAGAAGAGACAAAACGAGAGAAUUUCAAUCAGCACAUUACGGGUUAAAUCCCCCCUCCCACUAGGUAGGACGAUCAAGGACCAAUCAGAAGUAUAAUUGCCAGCCUGGUAAUUCGUGGGGAACAGAACUCUUGUGCUGUAUAAGGGCACAGACUUGAAGAAACAACAUGUUGUCCAGCCAUUUCAGCUUGCAGUUAUAUGAUGAAUCAGUGCUGAACCCUAAAAUACUUCAAGAGAGAUGUUCUUCUUGGGAAGGUCCCAACGGUGCCCACUGUCAUGUGAAGGAUCAGGAAAAGAAAAUCUAGUUGCUGGGAAAUAGGAAUCCAACGACUCAGUUCUUCUCAGACAUAAAGUUGUGAUUAACCAGUGUUACUGUGUACCCCAAUGUGGGUGUUGGACUGGGACUGCUAAUUCUUAUGUAAAGAGUGUGAUGAAUUGGAUGAUUUUG